GCCACUACUCAGCUCAAUAAACUAUUUUUUUCUUUUAUUUUCCCCAGAAAAACAAAAUAGGCUUUUCAUUAAGCUUGACAAAAUUGACACUCAAACCAGCCAUAGCGAUAGGAGAGAAGUACGGCGAUAAUGGAGUUAUCAGUCUUGUUGCUUCAGCUUCCGGAAAUUAGACGCAUGUUAGCUUCGUUCUGCUACUAGAAUUCUCAAUGGGGUAAGGUCUCAGGAAGGAUGAUUGGCAAUGCUAGAGAGUUUGAAGGUUGCUAUUUUCUUGAAGAUGGUGAUAAUUCAAUAAAUCUAAGUUCAACUUGUUUGAACACUGUUCUAGUUGAUAAUAAAAACAUGUUAUGGCACAAUAGACUUGGUCAUCCUAGUUUUCAUUAUUUGCAACUCUUGUUACCCCAGUUGUUUAUGAAUAAAAGUGCAUCCUCCUUUGAGUGUGAAA